rnacentral:rRNA from 1 species
GUGGGGAAUCUUCCGCAAUGGACGAAAGUCUGACGGAGCAACGCCGCGUGAGUGAUGAAGGUCUUCGGAUUGUAAAGCUCUGUUAAUCGGGACGAAAGAGCCUAGUGUGAAUAAUGCUAGGAAGUGACGGUACCGGAAUAGAAAGCCACGGCUAACUACGUGCCAGCAGCCGCGGUAAUACGUAGGUGGCAAGCGUUGUCCGGAAUUAUUGGGCGUAAAGCGCGCGCAGGCGGAUCUGCCAGUCUGUCUUAAAAGUUCGGGGCUUAACCCAGUGAUGGGAUGGAAACUACAGAUCUAGAGUAUCGGAGAGGAAAGUGGAAUUCCUAGUGUAGCGGUGAAAUGCGUAGAUAUUAGGAAGAACACCAGUGGCGAAGGCGACUUUCUGGACGAAAACUGACGCUGAGGCGCGAAAGCCAGGGGAGCGAACGGGAUUAGAAACCCGAGUAGUCC